rnacentral:rRNA from 1 species
UGGGGAAUCUUGCGCAAUGCGCGAAAGCGUGACGCAGCAACGCCGCGUGGGGGAAGACGGCUUUCGGGUUGUAAACCCCUUUCAGGAGGGACGAAGGUUCACCGGUUAAUAGCCGUGUGGAUUGACGGUACCUCCAGAAGAAGCUCCGGCUAACUACGCGCCAGCAGCCGCGGUAAUACGUAGGGAGCAAGCGUUGUCCGGAAUCAUUGGGCGUAAAGCGCGCGUAGGUGGCUCUGUAAGUCCGUUGUGAAAGUCAAAGGCUCAACCUUUGAAAGCCGAUGGAUACUGCAGAGCUAGAGUCCGGAAGAGGCGAGUGGAAUUCCUGGUGUAGCGGUGGAAUGCGCAGAUAUCAGGAGGAACACCAACAGCGAAGGCAGCUCGCUGGGACGGUACUGACACUAAGGCGCGAAAGCGUGGGGAGCGAACAG